UAGUUUGCCUGGAGCAUAUCAUCACCUAGUUGUGAUGGAUCAUCAUCGUAAUACUCAAAACCUUUAGUUUUUACAACCUGGCUGCAUCAUUUUCCUUCAAUAAAAAACAUCUUGAGAUUUGGACUUUGACAGCAA
rfam:Populus trichocarpa isolate Nisqually-1 chromosome 4, whole genome shotgun sequence.